rnacentral:rRNA from 1 species
UACAUGGGGUGCAAACGUUGCUCGGAAUUAUUGGGCGUAAAGCGCGCGUAGGCGGUUACGUAAGUCGGAUGUGAAAGCCCUCGGCUUAACUAAGGAAGUGCACCCGAAACUGAGUAGCUAGAGUACGAAAGAGGGUCGCGGAAUUCCCGGUGUAGCAGUGAAAUGCGUAGAUAUCGGGAGGAAUACCGAUGGCGAAGGCAGGUCUCUGGGCUGACACUGACGCUCAUGCACGAAAGCGUGGGGAGCAAACAGG